rnacentral:rRNA from 1 species
AGGAAAAGAAACCAACAGGGAUUGCCCUAGUAACGGCGAGUGAAGCGGCAACAGCUCAAAUUUGAAAUCUGGCGCAAGCCCGAGUUGUAAUUUGUAGAGGAUGCUUCUAGGUAGCGACCGGUCUAAGUUCCUUGGAACAGGACGUCAUAGAGGGUGAGAAUCCCGUAUGUGACCGGCCCGCACCUUCUACGUAGCUCCUUCGACGAGUCGAGUUGUUUGGGAAUGCAGCUCUAAAUGGGAGGUAAAUUUCUUCUAAAGCUAAAUACCGGCCAGAGACCGAUAGCGCACAAGUAGAGUGAUCGAAAGAUGAAAAGCACUUUGGAAAGAGAGUUAAAAAGCACGUGAAAUUGUUGAAAGGGAAGCGCUUACAACCAGACUUCUGGGCGGUGUUCCGCCGGUCUUUUGACCGGUCUACUCGCCGUCCCGAGGCCAACAUCAUCUGGGACCGCUGGAUAAGACCUCAGGAAUGUAGCUUCCCUCGGGAAGUGUUAUAGCCUGUGGUGAUGCAGCGCGUCUCGGGUGAGGUCCGCGCUUCGGCAAGGAUGUUGGCGUAAUGGUUGUCAGCGGCCCGUCUUGAAACACGGACCAAGGAGUCUAACAUCUAUGCGAGUGUUCGGGUGUCAAACCCCUACGCGUAAUGAAAGUGAACGGAGGUGGGAAGCGUAAGCUGCACCAUCGACCGAUCCUGAUGUCCUCGGAUGGAUUUGAGUAAGAGCAUAGCUGUUGGGACCCGAAAGAUGGUGAACUAUGCCUGAAUAGGGUGAAGCCAGAGGAAACUCUGGUGGAGGCUCGCAGCGGUUCUGACGUGCAAAUCGAUCGUCAAAUUUGGGUAUAGGGGCGAAAGACUAA